CCCAACGCUUCGCAUUGGGCUGAAUUAUCUCGCCCUUUCAGGGCU
rfam:Tannerella forsythia 92A2, complete genome.